rfam:Freshwater sediment metagenome lwMethane_C946, whole genome shotgun sequence.
GAGGGCGGGCCCCUCGGCGUAGCUUAUCAGGAGGCGAUGCCAAACCACCCUGAGCUGCAUCCGUAAAGAGCGGUUGUGGUGAGCGUCAUGGGAAAAGGCAGGAAUACUCCUGUCAGGU